rnacentral:rRNA from 1 species
GUGGGGAAUAUUGGACAAUGGGCGAAAGCCUGAUCCAGCAAUGCCGCGUGAGUGAUGAAGGCCUUAGGGUUGUAAAGCUCUUUUACCAGGGAUGAUAAUGACAGUACCUGGAGAAUAAGCUCCGGCUAACUCCGUGCCAGCAGCCGCGGUAAUACGGAGGGUGCUAGCGUUGUUCGGAAUUACUGGGCGUAAAGCGCACGUAGGCGGUUACUCAAGUCAGAGGUGAAAGCCCGGGGCUCAACCCCGGAACUGCCUUUGAAACUAGGUAACUAGAAUCUUGGAGAGGUCAGUGGAAUUCCGAGUGUAGAGGUGAAAUUCGUAGAUAUUCGGAAGAACACCAGUGGCGAAGGCGACUAACUAGACAAGUAUUGACGCUGAGGUGCGAAAGCGUGGGGAGCAAACAGGAUUAGAAACCCCUGUAGUCC